GAUGAAGAACGUAGCGAAAUGCGAUAAGUAAUGUGAAUUGCAGAAUUCAGUGAAUCAUCGAGUCUUUGAACGCACAUUGCGCCCCCUGGUAUUCCGGGGGGCAUGCCUGUCCGAGCGUCAUUGCUGCCCUCAAGCACGGCUUGUGUGUUGGGCCUCCGUCCUCCUCCCGGGGGACGGGCCCGAAAGGCAGCGGCGGCACCGCGUCCGGUCCUCGAGCGUAUGGGGCUUCGUCACCCGCUCUUGUAGGCCCGGCCGGCGCUUGCCGACACAUCAAUCUUUUUUCCAGGUUGACCUCGGAUCAAGUAGGGAUACCCGCUGAACUUAAGCAUAUCAAUAAGCGGAGGA
rnacentral:misc_RNA from 1 species